rnacentral:rRNA from 1 species
AUUGAACGCUGGCGGCAGGCUUAACACAUGCAAGUCGAGCGGGGGGAGGUAGCUUGCUACCGGACCUAGCGGCGGACGGGUGAGUAAUGCUUAGGAAUCUGCCUAUUAGUGGGGGACAACAUCUCGAAAGGGAUGCUAAUACCGCAUACGUCCUACGGGAGAAAGCAGGGGAUCUUCGGACCUUGCGCUAAUAGAUGAGCCUAAGUCGGAUUAGCUAGUUGGUGGGGUAAAGGCCUACCAAGGCGACGAUCUGUAGCGGGUCUGAGAGGAUGGUCCGCCACACUGGGACUGAGACACGGCCCAGACUCCUACGGGAGGCAGCAGUGGGGAAUAUUGGACAAUGGGGGGAACCCUGAUCCAGCCAUGCCGCGUGUGUGAAGAAGGCCUUAUGGUUGUAAAGCACUUUAAGCGAGGAGGAGGCUACUUUAGUUAAUACCUAGAGAUAGCGGACGUUACUCGCAGAAUAAGCACCGGCUAACUCUGUGCCAGCCGCCGCAGUAA